UUGUACUGCUCCCAGCACAGAGGGAACCUGGUGUCGGUUCACAGCCCGGGUCAACAGGUGUUUGUCCAGGAUCUGGUCAGGAGACACACAGACCAGCCGGUCUGGAUAGGAGGCUACGAUGCAGCUCAGGUACACUGGGUCAAUAAUUAAUCAGUCAGUCAGUCAGUCUGUCAAAUGUCUACAGUUUACAGAGGCAAAAGGUCAACGUACUUUCUGUUUAAAAACAAUGAAGUGGUUUCAAUCCAUCAAUCAAUGUGUUUCUGUGAUAAGGAGGGGAUGUGGCUGUGGAGUGACGGCUCAGCUGUUGACAGUUUCUACUGGGAGGAGGAUGAGCCCAGUAACUCUGGACAGGGGGAGAACUGUAUGGAGCUACACACUGGAGGUACACACAAACACACACACACACACACACACACACUCUCUGAGCACAUUGAAAUAACUGAAGUGAGAUUUGUCUUGACAACAGGUGGGCAGGGCUGGAAUGACGUGUCCUGUGCAGAGCUGAGGUUCUAUGUGUGUUCUAUGGAGACAAGAUCUGGUUUAGCAUCAUUGCCAAGUCAGAAGAAAAAACACGAGAGAGAGCUGGUUGAAGAGGUGAGUAUUUAUGACGUCCUGUGGGAGACCAGUGAGAGAGUAGCAGAUGAGAUCCUCGACACAGCCUUCCUCAGGGGGAUGUAUUCCAGACGUCUGCCUGCCCGCUGCUAUGCUGACUUCUGCCACCAGGAGGUGCUAUACCUGGACAGAGUCACCACCAUGCUGCAGGUGAAAAGAAAAUACAUUACAUAAAACCAAUACCAUAAAGAUUUACUUACUAUGACUGUGAUACGUGAUUGUCGUCCCUAGCUAUCUUAAGAUAAGUUGCUCUGUAUAACAGUGUAAAUGUGUGUGUGGGCCAGGUGCUGAUCAGAACAGUCCAGGGUCCUCCAGACAUCAUGAUGUUUCUCCGGAGAACACAUCAACGCUACCAGGAGUCUAUGAAGGAGGCCCAGAUCCAAACUCCACCACACCUGGUAGGAAGCUGUUAUAACAAUCACCCGUAAUAUACAAUUUAAGAUAUAUCUUAAUAUGCAAUUUA
rnacentral:lncRNA from 1 species